rnacentral:rRNA from 1 species
CCUACGGGAGGCAGCAGUGAGGAAUAUUGGUCAAUGGCCGGAAGGCUGAACCAGCCAUGCCGCGUGAAGGUCAGUGCCCUAUGGGCGUUAAACUUCUUUUGUGCGGGAGCAAUAAUGGUCACGUGUGGCCAGACGAGAGUACCGUACGAAUAAGCAUCGGCUAACUCCGUGCCAGCAGCCGCGGUAAUACGGGGGAUGCAAGCGUUAUCCGGAUUUAUUGGGUUUAAAGGGUGCGUAGGCUGUGAGGUAAGUCAGCGGUGAAAUGCCCCCGCUCAACGGGGUGAAGUGCCAUUGAUACUGCCUUGCUGGAAUGCGGAUGCCGUGGGAGGAAUGUGUGGUGUAGCGGUGACAUGCAUAGAUAUCACACAGAACACCGAUUGCGAAGGCAUCUCACGAAUCCGCGAUUGACGCUGAUGCACGAAAGCGUGGGUAUCAAACAGGAUUAGAUACCCCAGUAGUC